rnacentral:rRNA from 1 species
CGCCAGACUCCUACGGGAGGCAGCAGUGAGGAAUAUUGGUCAAUGGCCGCAGGGCUGAACCAGCCAAGCCGCGUGAGGGAUGACGGUCCUAUGGAUUGUAAACCUCUUUUGUCAGGGAGCAAAGGGCGCCACGUGUGGCGUUUUGCGAGUACCUGAAGAAAAAGCAUCGGCUAACUCCGUGCCAGCAGCCGCGGUAAUACGGAGGAUGCGAGCGUUAAUCGGAAUUACUGGGCGUAAAGCGCUCGUAGGCGGUAUGUCAAGUCAAGGGUGAAAUCCCCGCGCUCAACGUGGGAACUGCCUUUGAAACUGGCAAACUGGAGUGUGUGAGAGGAUAGUGGAAUUCCAGGUGUAGGAGUGAAAUCCGUAGAUAUCUGGAGGAACAUCAGUGGCGAAGGCGACUAUCUGGCACAUAACUGACGCUGAGGAGCGAAAGCGUGGGUAGCAAACAGGAUUAGAUACCCGCGUAUC